AGCCCAGAGCCUGAAUCAGUGUGUGUGUUAGUGGAAGCGUCUGGAAAGGCGCGCGAUACAGGGUGACAGCCCCGUACACAAAAAUGCACAUAUUGUGAGCUCGAUGAGUAGGGCGGGACACGUGGUAUCCUGUCUGAAUAUGGGGGGACCAUCCUCCAAGGCUAAAUACUCCUGACUGACCGAUAGUGAACCAGUACCGUGAGGGAAAGGCGAAAAGAAC
rnacentral:rRNA from 1 species